GAGCACCGUUCAGCGAUGUAGGAGAGUGGCUGCUCCCAUUCAGCACUGCAGAUAAACAGACAGAAGGAAGAGACAACGUGAAUUGGGCAGCGCUUGUGUUCUGGCUUUAGAGAGAGGGAGAGCUGCAAGGAGAGAGCUACACUGCUGACCCCCCGCCACAACAGGUGAAACAACAUGGCCUGUCAUUGCUAUAUAGGGAAGAAAGUAGUCUACACACCGCAACACCACCCUGGCUGAUGUCCCCUGUCCCUACUGCUGCCUCACCAGCUGCUCUGACAUCCCAAUCAGUGCCCCUCCACUAUAACCUCCAACCCCCAGACACACACACACACACACACACACACACACACACACACACACACACA